rnacentral:tRNA from 1 species
CGGAUUAAAUCUUUAUAGGUAAGAAUUUCAUUUACACUGAAAAUUAUAUUGUGCAACUCAGUAUGAUCUGA